UUUAUGGUUUGUUGAUUGUUUUAUCGAAAUGUUGUGGUUCUGAAAUCUAAAUAUUUGUUCUCAAGAUUAGUUGUUGCUAAUGAAUUUAAAAAACAUUUAAUAAUUAUUACUCAUCAUAUUCCACACUGUAAACACACUUAAAGCCAUUUAAAAUGGCAAUAGUUUAUGCUAUAUGAGUUAUAAUUUAUCUUGAUGUAAAUGUCUAAAUCGUGUAAGUUUGGAAAGUUUCAGUUCUUGUACUUACAAUGGAAGGCCCUGGAAUGAGUUUAUUUAAAGGUGCUGCAAGCAUUCACAUAAAUAAUAGUGCUCAAGAUAGACUAGAAGAACAAGAAGAACUUGAAGAUCAAAAAAGGCGGGAUGCAGAGUUAAAACAUAAACUUGCGAAUGCUUUUGAUGAUCUUCAAGAUGACGACGAAGCAAGCUCUGUAAACAGCAGCGGAAACUGCACCUUGGACCAUACAAAUGCAAAUAAUAAACAAUUUGCAACAGACAACAAAUAUGGAACUGGCCUCUUACCAACAUACACUGAAUCCAUUAACACAUUUAAAGAAGGCAUGCCUCUGUCUCAUUCAACAAAAUUAUAUUGUGAUACACCUAAAAGUCAUCAUAUACAACACAUGAGGAAUCAAGACGAGCCAGUAAAACUUCAAUAUAGUCCCUAUGGUGCAGGUGAUGGACAGAAUCAUUAUUAUCCACAAGAGAGAGAACACCUGAAUGGCUAUGGGACAGGACAAGGGUAUAAUAAGAAUUAUGAACAACUUAAAGUUAUGUAUGAAGGCAGAGUGAAAGAGUUAGAGCAAUAUGCGGCUCAAAUGAAGAACUUAGACAAUGAGGUAGACAGCUUACGAGCUCGCUUAGAAGCUGCCAUACAUGACAAGGAUAAAGCUGAAUUCUCAUUGCAAGAGGCACAUGCAUUACUUGCAUCAAGUAAGCAUAAGACAAUAGAGUUAGAACAGCAAGUGGGGUCAUUAACACAGAAAUUGAUGGAAAGUGAUGAAGAUAAGGAGCAAUUAAGGUUGGAGCUGCGGUCUGCGAAUAUUAGCUUACAAGAGAUACAACAGAGGUUGCAUACUAUGAAGGUGGCGCACACGCACGAUACGGACGCAUUGUUCAGGGAACAACAAGACAGGUAUAGAGAAGAAAUGGAUAGACUGCAAAAUGAUUUGAUGAAGGCAAAGAGUAGGCUUGAUGAAAAGGAUAGAGAAAUAAAACACCUAGAGAAGAGAUGUAUGGAACGGGAUAGAGAAAAAGAAGAGAUUUUAAUAGAGAAAGGUGCUACUAUAAAUCGGCUGGCCAAUGAAUUAGAAGCGGCACAGACUAGAUUGGUCAGUGGGGAGACAGCUCGGUUAAAGGAAAAAGUCAGCCAAUUGACUACCGAAAGGAAUUCUUCAAGGGAACAGGUUAAAGAGCUUGGAACCAAGCUCGAGGUAACAGCGCAAGAAUUAGUUCUGUGUCGUAACAAACUAACUGGAUGUCAGCGAGAAUAUGAAAAUUGGCGAUCAACACUAAAUCAGAUCUUACAUGAAGUGUUGCCAGAUAAUAGUUUUAAUAUUGGAGAUGCACCAUCACCGGGGAAACUUGCAACCUUAAAGGAAAUAUUGAGUCGAUAUAAACAGCAAAUACAGAAGGUUGGACAACUUCAAGAGGAAAUUAAUAAAAGGGAAAGAAGAUUAGAACAGCACAGAAAGCUAGAGUCUGAAUUGCGUUCGAAAUUAGAGGAACAAAAAGGUAUAGAGUUACAACUCAAUUCAAGAAUAGCGGUUCUACAGAAUAAAUUGGAAUUACUUGGUACACAUUCAGAUAGUGAAUUAGUGGAGACGUACAGACAACAAAAUGAAAUGCUCAGAAAAGAGAUGGAAGAUGUCAAGAGCGAGAUAAAAAGUAUUGAAAUCAAAUACACUGAACUGGAAAUGGACUAUGAGAAGUUGAAAAUUGAGCGAGGCAGCAGGGCGUCACUAGUGCAGGAAGCGAAUGCGGAUUUGUUAAGGGAAUUGGAAAACUACAGCGCACAGCUGAAAGACACGCUCAAGGAAAACGGCGAAUUGAAAACAUUGUAUCUACAAGUAUGCAGUGCCCGCGAUUCUGUCUCACGGGAACUGAAAGACGUACGAACAAACAUGCAAAAAGAGAGAGAUGACUUCAGGAAGCAAGAGAAAGACUACAUAGAGCGGAUAGAGAGAGAAAAGAAACAUGCAGAGAAGUUGGCAGGAGAUUUAAGUAGUUCAAGGGAAGAGAUAGAAAGGGCUAAUAAGAGAAUAUCGGAGUUGCAAAAAGAGUUCACUGAUAAGCAAAAAGAGUUUACUGAUAAGUUGAAUAAGUAUUUGGAAGAUGAAAAGUCCUCUAUGCGUAAAGAGAUGGAGAACUGUCUUCAAUGCGAGACUCAACUCAAACACAUUAAGUACUUGGAGGAGCAACUUAAUAAGUGUAAUGUUAAAUUAGCGGCCCAAGAAAGCAACGAUGCGCUCAUGAAGGAAUUAAAAGCUAAAGCGGAGUUUUUCCAAAAUUACAUAAUGGAAAGGUUCAAGAAGAUUCAGGAUCAGAGGAAUGUGGGAACUAGCACUCAUGACGGAGACACAGAUUCUGGUACUGAAGAAGUAGUGUCUCAUGACGAUAUGGCUGCAGAGACCGCACUUAUGAUGAAAGAGAAGGCAAUACGCGACCAAAUUGCCGAGAAAUUCACCUUAGAAAUGAAAACAGUUGAGAUGAAUUGUGCGAGGCGUGUGAAAGAGAUGGAGAACGAACAAAUGUCAACUGUCACGAAAUUAAAAGAAUUGUUGGAAAGGAAGGCCAAGGAGGUUGAUACGUUGAAGGAAUUUAUUCUUUCCGAGCGCGGGAAAGUUACGCAGAUAUUGGAAGCAAAGGAAAAUGAGAUUUCGGUGCUUAUAAAGGAGCAUAAUGAGCUGCAAGCGGAGUGUCAGAGGGUGAAAGAUGACGUCAUUGAGUGGAAGCAAAGGGCAGAGAAGUAUAAGGAGAGGUUGUCGAGAUUGGGCUCAAUGGAAGAUAUUAUAAAGAAAGAAAGAGAAGACAUGAAAUUGAAAAGCAGUUCAUCCGUUAAAGAGUGUCAGAGUUUGCGAACGAAGUUAAUGGAAUUGCAAUCUCAGUCUACGCAGUUGGAACAGAAGUUAAAUAAAUUACAAAAUGAAUAUCAAAUCAUUCAGGAUAAAUACAAAAACGCUAAAAAGACUGUCUAUACUUAUAAGGAUUACAUGGGAAAGAAAGAUGAGCACAUAAAUAGUGAAAUGAGUAGGAUUCAAGAUGAGUACAGGAAGAUAUUCGUGAAGUUGCAGAACCAAAUCAACUACUUGAUGACAAAGGUACAUGAGGAGAGACGAGGGUCGAAAUCGCAGUAUCAGGAAUAUGAUUGCACGGAGAAAAUUAAAAAACUAAACGAAGAUUUCGCUCGACUCACCCAAAAUAAUUUCAACGGUCCAGACCUCAAUCAGUGAUUUCUAGCGGAAUAUUAUUAUACAUAUCAAGUAUACAUACAUAGAAUAACUCUUGCAAAGAAAAAUGCAUAUUAACACAAAGAUAUAAAGGUAAUAUUGAUGAACUUGGAACUAGCUGGAAAUUAACAUUCCAUUACACAAACAUUAGUACAAAAACUUUAGCGAUCUCUAUAUUUAUUAUAAGAAUAUUUGUGAACUUAAUAACGGAACCUCACAACUUUUUUGUACUUAAAAUUUUGAUCGGCUCGAUCGUAGAAUUUCUUAAUUAUUUUCAUCAAGUCAUGGGCGAACGAUGUUCUAAUUUUUUAUUUAUUAAAACAAGUCACCAUACUAAUAUUAUAAAGAGGAAAGAUUAUUAUAUUAUAUAUUAGUAUCAUUGUGAAAACUAAACACAAAAACCAUUAUGAUUUGAAAUAAAAUCUUUCAGAAGAUUUUACAUUAUUCUUCAGUAACAACGGCUGUACUUAUUUCCUAAACAAAAUAAAUAUACGUGAAAAAACCGUGACAGGCCGUUUGUUAAAAAAAAAAGGUGCGUGUACUUAUGUACGCGCGUAAGAAGUUAUACUUCUUUGGCGUUAUUCUAUAAAGUUAAAAGUAUAUAUUAUUAUAUAUUUAGAACAUCUCUACCAAACACUAAGAUGUAUGUUGUAGCUUUGGCAGUAUUGCAAAAAUUAUUAAGUAUUGUAAUUAAAACUCCUUUAUUUGUUUAAACGGUAAAUGUCAUUAUGGUCAUUCAAAAUUCUUGGCAUAGCUGCUAAAUUCACGCAUAUUCUAUUUCUUUUUA